GUUUGCCUGCUUGUGAGCAAUGGAGGAAAUUUCUGCCAGUGCUGAAUCUGCUGAACAAGACAACCCAAAACUGUCAACACAUCACACAGGUCCAAAGAGCUGUAAGGAGAAUCGUUAUUUAGGUGUUAUUGUGUUGUGGAGUCUGCUGGGUGUUUUGCUUCUUAUUGGAUUUGUCACUUAUGGUGUCCACUACUUUAUUAUGAUUGAGGAAAGAGACAGCCUGAAUGCAAAUCUCUCCACUGUGAGUAAA